rnacentral:sRNA from 1 species
UUCUCAAAAAUCUCAUAUUUUUGUUGGUCGUAACGUGCGACGUUGACAGGCUGACCAAGGAACAUAGGUUCUUUAAGUUGGUCAUUCUU